UACGGAAGGGGCGAGCGUUGUUCGGAAUCAUUGGGCGUAAAGGGCGCGUAGGUGGUUCUGUAUGUCUACCGUGAAAGCGUACGGCUCAACCGUAUUUUGUCGGUAGAAACUGCAGGACUUGAGGCUGGGAGGGGCUGGUGGAAUUCCCUGUGUAGCGGUGAAAUGCGUAGAGAUGGGGGAGAACACUCGUGGCGAAGGCGGCCAGCUAGACUAGUUCUGACACUGAGGCGCGACAGCGUGGGGAGCAAACAGG
rnacentral:rRNA from 1 species